UACGGGGGGAGCAAGCGUUGUUCGGAUUUACUGGGCGUAAAGGGCGCGUAGGCGGCCUGUGCAAGUCAGUUGUGAAAUCUCCGAGCUUAACUCGGAACGGUCAACUGAUACUGCUCGGCUAGAGUGCGGAAGGGGCAACUGGAAUUCUUGGUGUAGCGGUGAAAUGCGUAGAUAUCAAGAGGAACACCUGCGGCGAAGGCGGGUUGCUGGGCCGACACUGACGCUGAGGCGCGAAAGCUAGGGGAGCGAACAGG
rnacentral:rRNA from 1 species